rnacentral:tRNA from 1 species
GACUCCGUGGUGCAAUGGUAGCGCGUCUGACUCCUGAUCAGAAGGUUGCGUGUUCAAAUCACGUCGGGGUCA